CGGGUGCGUAACGCGUAUGCAACCUACCUUUUACUAGAGUAUAGCCCAGAGAAAUUUGGAUUAAUCCUCUAUAACAUCUUUAAGUUUCAUAACUUUUAGAUUAAAGUUUUAACGGUAAAAGAUGGGCAUGCGUCCUAUUAGUUUGUAGGUGAGGUAACGGCUCACCUAGACUACGAUAGGUAGGGGCCCUGAGAGGGGGAUCCCCCACACUGGUACUGAGACACGGACCAGACUCCUACGGGAGGCAGCAGUAAGGAAUAUUGGACAAUGGACGAAAGUCUGAUCCAGCCAUGCCGCGUGCAGGAUGAAAGCCCUAUGGGUUGUAAACUGCUUUUAUACAGGAAGAAACACUCCGACGUGUCGGAGCUUGACGGUACUGUAAGAAUAAGGAUCGG
rnacentral:rRNA from 1 species